rnacentral:rRNA from 1 species
GCAAGCGUUGUCCGGAAUCAUUGGGCGUAAAGGGUACGCAGGCGGAUAUGCAAGUCAAAUGUGAAAGGUAUCGGCUUAACCGAUAGAGUGCAUUUGAAACUGUAUAUCUUGAGUACAGCAGAGGAGAACGGAAUUCCUGGAGUAGCGGUGAAAUGCGUAGAUAUCAGGAAGAACACCAGUGGCGAAAGCGGUUCUCUGGGCUGUUACUGACGCUGAGGUACGAAAGCUGGGGCAGCGAACGGGAUUAGAUACCCCGGUAGUCCCAGCUGUAAACGAUGGACACUAGGUGUUGGGGGUUCGAUUCCCUCAGUGCCGCAGUUAACGCAUUAAGUGUCCCGCCUGGGGAUUACGGUCGCAAGACUGAAACUCAAAGGAAUUGACGGGGGCCCGCACAAGCGGUGGAGCAUGUGGUUUAAUUCGAUGCAACGCGAAGAACCUUACCGAGGUUUGACAUCCCGUGACUACCUGUGAGAGCAGGGUUUUGGACUUUGUCCGACACGGAGACAGGUGGUGCAUGGCUGUCGUCAGCUCGUGUUGUGAAAUGUUGGGUUAAGUCCCGCAAUGAGCGCAACCCUUGUACCUAGUUGCCAGCAAGUGAUGUUGGGGACUCUAGGUAGACUGCCGGUGAAAGUCGGAGGAAGGUGGGGAUGACGUCAAGUCCUCAUGCCCUUUAUGCCUCGGGCUACACACGUGCUACAAUGGCCAAUACAGGAGGUAGCGAGAUCGCGAGAUCAAGCGAACCCUCAAAGUUGGUCAUAGUUCGGAUUGCAGGCUGCAACCCGCCUGCAUGAAGCUG